UACAGCUUCACUCUGUCACUUCCAUUCACAGCCAGAAUCUCUCAGGAUCCAUUCUGUGAGUUUUACUGAGGAGGUUUUCAUUGCGUUGUGAUUGUCAAAUCAGCUUUAUACUUUUUGGCAGUGCGUCAAAAUCUGACUGCCAGUAUUUUUAAAGGGAACCUCAAUCAAUAGUCCCUAUAAGGAGCUCCACAAAGGAGUCUCGAAUAAUUAUCUUUAAGGCAGAAUUUUAUAUCUAGGACCAUUAGGAUUCCUAAAAGGAACCACCAAGAAAGCUCCUAUCAGGAGCGAACUUAAGAGAAUCCCUUUUUAUCACUAUAUCCAAGGUUGUGAUUCUCCACACACAAAUCUAUUAAUGGCAAAUAAGCCUGUUUUAUAUAUUUGGCAGUUACCCCUGAUGAAGUCGAUAAGACGAAACGCGUUGGAUUUGUCAGUCAGGAGUUUCCAGCAUAGUUUGGGAAGAUACUCCCUCUUAAGCUCGCACCUUGAAAAAGGUGAGGGAGUAUCUAGAGUUAAAGACCACACAAUGAACAUACUGGUUAUCCUUUAUUGUCAUCAUUUUAAACACAUCUUUGUGAACACUAUAUGAGGAAUUUUAUGUGAAAACUGUAUUUGUUUUAACAUGUUAUUAAAAUAAUUUUUUACUAA